AGAACGUGUGGAAAACUAAUGACUGAGC
rnacentral:piRNA from 1 species